rnacentral:lncRNA from 1 species
CCUCUUUCACUGCCCUUUUUUUUCUCUUCCUCCUGUGCUUCUUUUUAUUUUUCUUCUUCGUCUCUUUUUGUGUCAUUCUAUAUCUUCCUCCUCUUCUUCUUCUUCUUUUUAUUCUUCUUCUUCUUUCAAAUUUCCAUCUAAAGAACUCCUCUAAUCAGUUUUACCCAUAAUUUGCAAUUUUCACCCAAAAAUACGAUGAUUAAAGGAAC